CGCGAUGCUUCCGUCGGGCUCUCACAGGGUGAUCUGUUCCACAGAAGGCCCAGAGCUCAGUCUCUGCGUGCAGCACGCUCACCAGAGCACCAGCUCUGCUCACCAGCUGUGGCACAAACGCUCCCACCCCAGCAGUGGUUGUGACCUCAGCGAGUGCCCGCAUCGCCUCGGUGCUUUCAUCAUAAGCGAAGGAAAUGGACGCCUCCCAGCUCCACAUCUUAGGGUCACCCAAUGGGGUUAUCUGAAGAACAGGAAUGGAGAAGUGAAGACGACUCUUGUGCAGCCCAAUAAAAAACAGAAAAGACCAAUACGGCUUCACAGUGGUCAAUGGAGUCCCAGAGGAAUCACUGGAAACCAAUAGCAACGCACGCCUGGAUGUCCCGGGGCUGGUGCAGGUGGAUUUGCCACAGCCUUUCUUACAAGGACUGAGAGUGGGAUGAGAAGUGCCCUGAAGUUGCAAGUAGGCAAAAGAGCAAUGCAAAUCAAGGUAACUGUGUUGGAGACCCUGCCUGGGAGCAGAGUGACGUGAGAGCCCCACCACCUUCUGCUUAGGAGCUGUGUAGAGUCCCCAUCCCAAAUGGCGUGUUUCCUUAGCAAAACGGUUGUUCUUCUGGAAAGCCCCAGCUCCUCGCGUUACAUUACUACGUGAAGAAUCCCAGGCUGAAUUAUUUAGAACUACUUUUUUGUUAGUGGUCAAGUAAAACACGGCAACAGAGGCAGCGG
rnacentral:lncRNA from 1 species